ACAAAACAGAGCACACAAAGUGUCUCUUCAUAAUAUCACAACCAACUGAGACCACACUAAGAAAAUCAACUUGCCUAGAAGAAGACCCCUUCUCUUAGGUAGCCAGGAUUUGAAGGGAGAGACUCUGACCUGUGCCACUGGAGGCUACUGGAGGAUGUACUUCACCAAAACAAAGGAGUAAUCUAAGUAAGAAGGCAUGGGACCCUGAAAAUAUAAGAUCUCACAAAGGAAUGCAAUGAAGGAAGGUCCCAGGAUGACUACUGUGUCAAGUAAGUAGAGCGGGGGUUUCAGGAAGUAUUUCUAGGAAACUUGGAACAAAGUGUUUAAGUACAUAGGAAGUGUAGAAAGAAGUGCAACAGAGGUUGGGAUAAGAGAAAAAAAAAAAAAAAGAAAAGAAGUACAAGAGUAACUAGAUUAAUGAUAAAAUGAAGCAAUUAGAAGUACCCCAAAUACAUCUUUUUGGAUGAGUGUCACUGUGUCACACACACACAAAAAAAAAAAUCUGAGAUUUUAUUUCUUAAAAUGUAAUCAUUUUAUUACAAUUUUGGUAGUCAUAUUUUAGAAGUUUGACAUUAAAACUGUAGGAAAAUUGUAGGAUUGUCAGCAAUUAGAGUACUCCUUCAGGCAUCAUACUCCAGUUUCAAUAGAUGCUCACCUUCAAUAAGAUGUGCACUGGAGAAAAUUUUUUCAGAAAAAAUAGUUUUAAGUAACUUGUUUUGUAAAUGGAACUUUGUCCUUUGCUUAGGCAAAUCUCAAAAUUUUUUAUUUAAAAGAAAUGUUGCAUAAUCUAUAGCAGUAAUUUCAAUAAGCUUUUCAUUUAAAUUUUAGCCUCUGUAGACUCAAAAGCAUAAGGAAUUAUUUAUUUCUUUAGAAAUAAUACUUUGAAAUUUCAUAUUGUUUUUCAUCUUCCAAACUGUUUUUGCUAUCAAGAUAUAGUUGUAUCCAGUGACCAGUGACCAGUGGCCAGGGCCAUAAUAUAUUCCCAUAUAACACUUUAGAUUUUUUUCCCUAUGUGUUAUGAUUGAGGUUUCUUCCUGUACUCUGUUUCUAUAAAUAUUAUAUAACCUAAGAAUAAAUUUUGAUCUAAUUGUAUAUGA